UAUCCCUGAUCUUUGGUUUUAAUUGGAUAACCGGCAGUGCAGCAGUGCAGCGGCUGGCUGCUUGAUGCGCCACAAUGAUGAUGCCUGGGGAAUCUGCAUUCCAACCGGGCCUUUUUUAAAAAUUCAAUAAGCUAAGUUUAUGUAAUGUACCAUCCAAAAUUAUAAUAUUCCCUUAAAAUUGAUGUUAUUUUGAUCACCAACCAAAUUUGACUAGAAGUUCGAAGUUUGUUUCCUCCUUGAAGAAAAUAGAAUAUUUUAUAUUCAA